rnacentral:rRNA from 1 species
ACAGUCACACAUUAGAUACCCGCGUAGUCCUAGCCGUAAACGAUACUCGCUAGGUGUCGGCCACGGUGCGACCGUUGUCGGUGCCGUAGGGAAGCCGUGAAGCGAGCCACCGUGGGAAGUACGGCCGCAAGGCUAGAAACUUAAAGGAAUUGGCGGGGGAGCACCACAACGGGUGGAGCUUGCGGUUUAAUUGGACUCAACGCCGGGAAGCUCACCGGAUAAGACAGCGGAAUGAUUGCCGGGCUGAAGACCCUGCAUGACCAGCUG